UACCUAUUCGUAGCCAUUCGAUUUGAAUAUCGAAUAUAGCCGUUGCUAUCUUUUUGACCUUAUCCACAAAGUUGAUGGCGCUUCGAUAACUUCUUUUAUCCAUCGAACUGAAAUUAGCGUCUUCGAUUCUUGCUGAGGACACAUCUCCGAUAGAUUUUUAUAAGGCUAAGUCCAUCUUCCUAGGUCAAACCUUUGACUGCAUUAAAUGAUACUUUUUCACAAAUAUCGGCUAACA
rnacentral:lncRNA from 1 species